rnacentral:rRNA from 1 species
GAUGAACGCUGGCGGCGUGCCUAAUACAUGCAAGUCGAGCGAACAGACGAGGAGCUUGCUCCUCUGACGUUAGCGGCGGACGGGUGAGUAACACGUGGAUAACCUACCUAUAAGACUGGGAUAACUUCGGGAAACCGGAGCUAAUACCGGAUAAUAUAUUGAACCGCAUGGUUCAAUAGUGAAAGACGGUUUUGCUGUCACUUAUAGAUGGAUCCGCGCCGCAUUAGCUAGUUGGUAAGGUAACGGCUUACCAAGGCAACGAUGCGUAGCCGACCUGAGAGGGUGAUAGGCCACACUGGAACUGAGACACGGUCCAGACUCCUACGGGAGGCAGCAGUAGGGAAUCUUCCGCAAUGGGCGAAAGCCUGACGGAGCAACGCCGCGUGAGUGAUGAAGGUCUUCGGAUCGUAAAACUCUGUUAUGAGGGAAGAACAAAUGUGUAAGUAACUAUGCACGUCUUGACGGUACCUAAUCAGAAAGCCACGGCUAACUACGUG